CCUAGCGUUAUCCGGAUUUAUUGGGCGUAGAGCGAGCGCACACGGUUGUUUAAGUCUGAAGUGAAAGCCCACAGCUUAACUGUGGAAGUGCUUUGGAAACUGGAUGACUUGAGUGCAGUAGAGGAGAGUGGAACUCCAUGUGUAGCGGUGAAAUGCGUAGAUAUAUGGAAGAACACCAGUGGCGAAGGCGGCUCUCUGGACUGUAACUGACGUUGAGGCUCGAAAGUGUGGGUAGCAAACAGGAUUAGAUACCCUGGUAGUCCACACCGUAAACGAUGAGUGCUAGAUGUUUGAGGGUUUCCGCCCUUAAGUGUCGCAGCUAACGCAUUAAGCACUCCGCCUGGGGAGUACGACCGCAAGGUUGAAACUCAAAGGAAUUGACGGGGACCCGCACAAGCGGUGGAGCAUGUGGUUUAAUUCGAAGCAACGCGAAGAACCUUACCAGCUCUUGACAUCCUUUGACCACUUCAGAAAUGAAGCUUUCCCUUCGGGGACAAAGUGACAGGUGGUGCAUGGUUGUCGUCAGCUCGUGUCGUGAGAUGUUGGGUUAAGUCCCGCAACGAGCGCAACCCUUAUUACUAGUUGCCAGCAUUUAGUUGGGCACUCUAGUGAGACUGCCGGUGACAAACCGGAGGAAGGUGGGGAUGACGUCAAAUCAUCAUGCCCCUUAUGAGCUGGGCUACACACGUGCUACAAUGGCAAGUACAACGAGCAGCUAACCCGCGAGGGUACGCGAAUCUCUUAAAACUUGUCUCGGUUCGGAUUGUAGGCUGCAACUCGCCUACAUGAAGUUGGAAUCGGUAGUAAUCGCGGAUCGGCACGCCGCGGUGAAUACGUUCCCGGGUCUUGUACACACCGCCCGUCACACCGUGAGAGUUUGUAACACCCAAAGCCGGUGAGGUAACCUUUUAGGAGC
rnacentral:rRNA from 1 species